UACGGAGGGUGCGAGCGUUGUCCGGAAUCAUUGGGCGUAAAGGGCGCGUAGGUGGCGGGACAAGCGUGCGGUGAAAGCCUGGGGCUCAACCCCGGGUCGGCCGUGCGAACUGUUUUGCUUGAGCACUGUAGAGGCAGGCGGAAUUCCGGGUGUAGCGGUGAAAUGCGCAGAUAUCAGGAAGAACACCCGUGGCGAAAGCGGCUCUCUGGAACGGUACUGACGCUGAGACGCGAAAGCGUGGGGAGCGAACAGG
rnacentral:rRNA from 1 species